rnacentral:tRNA from 1 species
CCCAAUGUGGUGUACUGGUUGCGCACCCAGCUCUCAGCUGGGAAGACCGGGUUCGAUCCCCGGCAUUGGGA